CGGCGGGCGGCGGGCGGAAGGCAUCACUUUGUCCGGACUCUAAUUCAAAUUGUAUUCAUCCGAUCUUCACCAAACUUGGUCAGCAGUUGCAUCUAGUUGAUAUCUAGGCCAAGUUCGAAUAUGGGUCAUGCCGGGUCAAAAACUAGGUCAUAGGGUCAAUAAGUUCAUUUUCAAAGGGGCCACUUUGUCCGGACUCUAUUUCAAAUUGUAUUCAUCCGAUCUUCACCAAACUUGGUCAGCAGUUGCAUCUAGUUGAUAUCUAGGCCAAGUUCGAAUAUGGGUCAUGCCGGGUCAAAAACUAGGUCAUAGGGUCAAUAAGUGCAUUUUCAAAGGGGCCACUUUGUCCGGACUCUAUUUCAAAUUGUAUUCAUCCGAUCUUCACCAAACUUGGUCAGCAGUUGCAUCUAGUUGAUAUCUAGGCCAAGUUCGAAUAUGGGUCAUGCCGGGUCAAAAACUAGGUCAUAGGGUCAAUAAGUGCAUUUUCAAAGGGGCCACUUUGUCCGGACUCUAUUUCAAAUUGUAUUCAUCCGAUCUUCACCAAACUUGGUCAGCAGUUGCAUCUAGUUGAUAUAUAGGCCAAGUUCGAAUAUGGGUCAUGCCGGGUCAAAAACUAGGUCAUAGGGUCAAUUAGUGCAUUUUCAACGGCGCCACUUUGUCCGGACUCUAAUUCAAAUUGUAUUCAUCCGAUCUUCACCAAAUUUGGUCAGAAGUUGUGUCUAGAUGAUAUGUAGGUCAAGUUCAAAUAUGGGUCAUGCCGGGUCAAAAACUAGGUCAC